rnacentral:rRNA from 1 species
CGAACGGGUGAGUAACGCGUGAGGAACCUGCCUCAAAGAGGGGGACAACAGUUGGAAACGACUGCUAAUACCGCAUAAGCCCACGGCUCGGCAUCGAGCAGAGGGAAAAGGAGCGAUCCGCUUUGAGAUGGCCCCGCGUCCGAUUAGCUAGUUGGUGAGGUAACGGCCCACCAAGGCGACGAUCGGUAGCCGGACUGAGAGGUUGAACGGCCACAUUGGGACUGAGACACGGCCCAG